AUCUUUGAUUUGAGUGAAAUAAAAAGCGGGGCUGAUUGCAUUUAACAAAUUACCCAUCUGCCUCCUGGACCUUGUUGGGGCACCUGUAUCUCAUCCUAUUUUAGGGCAGCACCAGACCCCCUUCCUUUCUCCCCCGGGUUCCUGAGGGUUCUGUGCUGCUCUGCUCCCUGAGCAGGGGUGAAAUUGCAGCAUUCCCUGGGAAUGGAAGGUGGGUUCAAGCAGAAGGUGUAGGUGAGUAAGCUGAAGCCUGUGCUCAUUCUAAGCUGUGCUGUCUUGCCAAAGAAGCUAAAGGCCUCUUAUGUUGGGCUGCUCUUUGCAUUUCUGCAGUGUCAGUCCUGAAGCUGCUGAGAUCACUGUUGUGUCCUGACACUGCAAAGCACAUUCCCAGGUGUGAAGAUGACUUUUGGGAACUACAACUGGCUACCUCCUGCCACCCAACACCAGGCAGCUCAAGACUGUGCCGGAACAAAGAAGGUUUAGUUGAUUUUUAGGAGCUUCGUAUAUGAGUAAACAUGAAGUUGCCUUUUAGGAUGGAUUAGUUAAUGUAUUGAAUAAUAAGCUACUCCAGCUAAAAUGAUUCAUAGAUUUACUUAUGUACUCAUGGUUUUUGGCUGUUCCUGAUGGCUUGUGCUUGGUCAAACCUUGCUGUGCCCAGAAUGGGUUAGGUGGUGUGAGCCUUUAUCAAGUUGCUGAAUAAAAUCCUUAAAUUAGAAUCAAGGUGAAUCUAAGGAGAAGUGGGGCAGAAACACAACAAUUAGGGACACCAUGUCUCCUUUAAGUGACGUGUCAGCUCCACUGCUCCUCCAGAAAUGUGAAUGGAAGUCCUCAGCUGUGGAGCCAUAAAUGGAGUCAUUACAAUGCACUAAUUCAGAGCAAUGUAUCUGUGGGUCUCUGAGUGCUUCAGAACAUGAGUUGUCAUAAUGGUAAACUUUUUGAUUUACAUUUUGCAAUAGCUUAUUUUUACUUUCAGUAGAGUAUUUCCUGCUGUUGCUUUCUUGUGAUUUUAUGCUAGAGGUCUAACAACUUGUGCUUUUUGGUUCAUGCCUGCCCAAGUGGGGAUCACCCACCCAUGAUGACCAAUACACUUGGACUGUGCUCAAAAACAACAAGGGUGGAUUAAACUAUUCCAUUAUUGCAGAUGAAAGAGUUCUCCCCGACAUCUGGCAUAUCAUCUUCAAAACUGAUAUGGAACAUUUCCAUAAAUUCAGCUUAACGUUGUUUUUGUGAGUGUUCCAAAGUAUUUUUAACAUGAAGAAAUAGCAUGCAAACUAAUUUCCUAUUUGAAAGUAAAUGCCUUGUUCUUAUUUCUAAUUCACACAGUUAUUAAAAAAGUAAAAAAUAAAAAAAGGAUGUUCACUUAACUUGAAACAUACUGGUUUGUUUACUUAAGUUAAUGGAAAAGCUCGUCAGUGUUUGAUGUAAAGCUGCCCCCUUGCUUGAAAGAAAACCAAACAACUGCUUAUGAAUUAUGAAUAUCUCCUAAUACUUUCCAGAAUUAUCUGAAGGAUGUAUUUUUUUCUUAAUUACGUACACUUGAAAGUUCCAAGUUCCCUCUUCAUUUCCAUUUUGUUUAUUUCUCUCCUUGGAAACCUCGUAAGCAUUUUCCUUUAGCUAGGCUUGACUGAACAAAAUAUCACUGCUACAACCUGCAAUAUUGGGGAAAUCAAGGCCUGAAAGCUCAUUGUGGUUUUUAAUUAGGAAGUUGAAGCUCAUUAAAGCUUUGCAAGCAUUUUCACAGCACUUACACUGGCAGCUGCUGGAUCCCUGCAAAGGAAAAUAUAAAUAUCUACCCAAAAAGUGAGUUCAGGGCACACUUCAAAAAUCAACUUUCAUUCUGAGACAGCUCAGAAAACAGCUCCUGCAAAAAAUGUUGCUUAUCUUGUAUGCUGGCAUGCCUUCCACUGCUUUAGUCCCAGUCAGAAGUACAGGAACCUGAUUUUGGGGGUUUUUGGUAGUGGAUGUGUCGCUGAUCAGAGCAGCUCUGCUGACACAAGAAACAAGGGACCUUUAGAAGGAACUUCACAUGCAGGACAAGUAACUUAGAGUAUUUGAUAUGAGCCCAAUUUUAUCAAUACCAUCUCAUUCCCCUUCAGCUUUUGCAGGCUGAAUGAGCCUUUUUAGGAAUUCCAGUUUCCAAGCUGAGAACAUUUAAGUUCAAGCUGAGUUCAAUAGCAGCUCUCCAAAGGAGAGGGCUUAUCUAAAUGAUGAUAUUGUUUUUAGCACUAAUCAUCCUAUCUGUUGGCAGUACCAACAUGCUGCAAUCUCCACAGCUCCCCACGUAAAUAAGCAGAUUCCUGAUGCUGUUCCAGCUUCAGAAAUGCCUUUGAAGGCAUUAUUUAGUUCUGAAUUUUUCCUAUGUGGUUAUGUGAUACUUUUAGCAUGUGGCUGGAUGCACCCACAGAUGCCUUGUUUUGAAGAAAUGAACCUAAAACCUAUUUAAAGUGUUAGUGGCAGGCACUGGGCUGUGAAAUAGAAAUGGUUAAAAGAAAUUCUCACUUUCACGCCUCCUACAACUUCUGAAUGAUAGAAGAAUAAAAGCAAGCUAUGGAAAUAGUACUUAAAAAAAGACACAUCAGUCGAUUUGGUCCAAAAUAUACUCUAGGGAUGGGAGGGGACUGGAAGAGCUGGGAUAGAAAAACACAAUGUUCAGGUUGCACAGUUCAAGUGCAGUGAAAGGGUGUGCAGAAGUUAAGGUUUCUGUGGCAAUAGAAAUUUGACUGUGCCAAAAACCAGCAGUGUUAGUUCUGAUCUAACAAAACCAUCAGGAACUGGAUCUUAUAAAUUUUUGUUUGUCUGUUUUUCCCUAAGAAUUCUUAUUAACUGCCUCCUCCUUAGAACUUAAGUGGAAAAUUCAAUUUUCCAUGUAAUUCUUCACAUGAAGAGGGCUUAAAAUUGAGUUUGAAGUUUUAAAAAUUCUUUGUUUGCAAGAGAAUAGAUACAAGAGGCAAAGCCAGGCAGGAUCAAAAGUGAGGCAGAGGCAGCAGGGGAAAAGAAAUCAAUCCUUUGAAGAUAAAAUUACAAAAAAAAAAAAAAAGGAAAAGCAGUAUGGAUACUAAUGAAGGAAGGAAAAUGAACAUGGGAAAAGCAAGACAGGAGCCCAGGGGAGGUUUUGGAAAAGGGGAGAUGGAUGAGAGGGGUAACUGAAAUAAGCUGAGGGUGUGCAGUCCACUGGAGUUAGUAAGCUACAGCAGUGCUUGGGAAGUAUUUGUUGUUCUUUCAAAAACCUGACAAAAAAAUUCUGAAAACUGAAAAUUAUUAUUAUUUUUGGCCCCACUCUAAGAUUUUUCUGGGGUUUAGCCACAUUUUUUUUUUCUGUGUUUGGGAACAUAAAAAAAGGAAAAAAAGACACCAAAAAAUACUUUGUUCUUUCAAUGAGUCAGUAAUAAAUAAAAAUGAACAUUCUAAAAACCAGAAGUUUCCUUGGGAAGAGAGAGCUGUUUCUUCUUCCAAAUUUCCUUUGCCUUAAAAUUGGGAUGUGCUCUGCUCUCAGGCUGAGGAUCUGCCUUCCCAGCUGCCUUUAAGCAAUCAAGUAGAAGUAGCAAUUGAAAGAGCUUUGCUCCUUUCUUACUUUUUUUUUUUUCCCCUGGUGUUUGGCUGGGAAGUUGCAUGGGUUUGCCUCAGAGUAGAUGCUGUGCUACCAUAAUCCUGGCACUUUUCACUGCAAAUGAGAUUUCAGCAGUGUUUCCUAGAGUAAGUGGAGAACUCCUGAAGCAUUCUGAACAUCCAGCUGCAGGGCUGGCGGGAGGGGGAAGUGCAGCAACCUGCUUUGUUUGCCUGAGCAUGUGAUUUUUUUUUUUUUAUUUUUCUUUUUUUUAAAAUACCUUGUGAUCUUCACAGACUCCUGGCGAAGCUUAAAAGACAACAGAGAUCUUACAAGCCCAGUUCAGAUCUUCCAACCUUGUGGCUAGAAGCAUCUAAACCCUUUGACAGUUUUCCAGCUUCUUGAAUUUGUGUCCCAUCAUUGGAGAUGCUCAAGAAAGAUCUUGGAGCUUUGAAAGAUGUGUCUGCAAUGCUGAGAUCCUUCAGAAAUGUUCUAGCAAAUGUGACUCAGUAACCCAGACUACAAGAGUGAAAAUAAAACACAGGUAAGGGCAAUUCCUUUAUACACUAAUUAAUCUGAAGUAGGAAUCAGGUUUGAAAAUGGAGGAAAAAAGUGGUGAUUGAGAGAAAAUCAUCCUGAGAAAAAAACUGGGAAGAGGAGGAGCAGAGAACUUUUCUCAGGAGGCUGAGGAGUGACAGUGCAGGAGACUGGGAGGAAAAACUGCUCAGAGCAAGCACAAUGAGAACAUCCCAGUGGCAAUAGUGUCACUCUAAAAUUACCUGAGAGGUGCUAAAAGCAGCUGCCAGGGUGCUUUGGCCCUGGUUGGGGGCUUGCAUCACUGUGAUGCUGUGGGAUGUAUUCCUUUGAGAGCAGGUUUUGGCACAGGGAGCACAGCCCGUGCUGCCCCGAGUUCUGUUUUGUGCCCUCUGGUGCUGCUGGGUGCAGCAGGUGACAGCCCUCACUCCUGGUGUGGUGUUCCUGACCUGUAGGAUGCACAGACCUGAGUGUCUACAACAGGUACAGGGGAUUCCUCAAGAGAGAAAUGAGUGCUCUGAGCUGUUUAAUGGGGUGCCAAGUGCUCUGGGAUGCCAAGCCAGGACCAGGCAUGAGCACAUUCUUCCCCUUUGCUAUCUGGUGUUAUUCCUGAUUGCAUUGUGAGAAAGACCUCCAGCUUAGAGAGAGGAAUUCUGAAGGAGGACAGAUGGCUGGAGUUUGGACUUUCUUCAGGCCAUGUGCCUUCUGAAUCCAUUUGCUGUGUUUUGUCUGUCAAAACAUGAGCCUCCUCCGAGCUACUAAGGCAACAGGCUUCAAAAAUCAACAAAUGCAGCCCACAAGGAUGACAGCCGAGGUGACUACUGUGUGAUCCCAUUCUUCUGCUGCAAGAAGCCAUGAGAACUGCUAAUGAGUUUACUUCAACUUGAAGUCCAGGGCUUGCCUGCAUAAUCCUAGUUCAGGAAGCUAAGGUGACACCAGUGAUUUGUCAAAUAUGGCAGUGAGCUGUAGCUUGGAAGGGUUUUUCUCCCCAAGGGCUCAUCACUUCAUCAUACCUGAAAACAGUGAUGCUCCUGUGAAGUGAAGCUUGCAUAAAACACUGUUCUGGUGUGAAACACUGCCUGAAGCUUCCGUGGUGGUUCAUGUGUCUUUAUCUGCUCCUACUACCCCAGUGAUAGAAAGGCCAUAACAGCUCCCUGGGGGAUCUUAAAAUGCCAGAAAGUGCUGCAGAAGACACGAGCUAGGUCAGUGUUCACCUCUGGAGUCAGACUUGCUCCUUGGAAGGCUGCAUAUCACUCAUGGGUUUAUUUGUGGUUGUUUCCUUUUAGUUUGAGGUACCAUAAAAAGAUUAUCUAUGCUGAGAAGAGUGGCAAGGGUGCCCUCAGCUCUAGUGAGAUUCUGGACUAUUUCAUUAGUCCUUCUGCACUCAGGUUCACGGGCUCCAGCUUUCUUAGUUGAAGGACCCUCUUGCUGUCUGGAAUUUCCUGUACUCAAGGCAAUCAUAAUUCAGCUCUUUUGGGAAUUUUGUGAGCAGUUUGCACUCCACAACUGGCACUAGGACUUAACAGAGGAUGCACCUGGCAGUGCUUGCUGAGAUGGAGGGUACCUCACAGCAGGAGGAAGGUGAAAUCAUUUGUUAAAAGCUGCUGUGCAGGGGUAGUGGCCUGGGAAUGAUUCAGCCUCCUGAUGCCAGUUCUUCCCAGUGCCUCCCAGUCUGCAAACAAGGGUGGUUUGACCUCACAAAGGCAUAAAUUCAGCAAAACCUAGAUUUUGUCACCACGUACCUGUCAUGGCUCAUGAGGAGCAGUUCCUUUGCUUAUGCCUUGGAAUGCUUUGGAAAGGGGCUCUCUAGGUAAUGUUGUAGUUUUGUAGGGAAUAAUCAAAUCUCUUUAGAUAUUUAUGAAUAAGCCAAAUAAGGAGAGGGACAAACCAAGAUGUGCAAAGGACCAAAAAUAGCAGGGGGGUUUUGUCAGUUUUCUUCAGGAAAAGAAGCCCUGACAGCUCUGUGCUCAACAUGUCUGACGUUUACUCACUUCAUGGGAGCUGGCACUGCAGAGAAUAGGUAUUUAUAGGGAUGUAUUCACACGACUUUGCUUUGCACAGACUACUGAUUUAGAUGUCUAAUUUAGGAGCACAGGCACUCUCUGUCAUCAGCAGAGCCUAAAUGAUGGUCUCUGAGUUACCCCUGAAAGGAGGCACCUUUCUCCAGAGAGUUCAGAGCGACCUGAGGUUCCUAAUUUAGGCCCAUA